AUACUCUGGUUUUUCUUCAGAUUGAAUAAAGCUUUCGCCUUUAUUAAAGAUUUCCGUGGAGAGGAACAUCCAUGAGUUUCAAGGAUUUUUGGUUGAGGCUCUGCCCCUUGCAGAGCU